rnacentral:piRNA from 1 species
UCACUGAGCUCUGCCAAAAAUACCUGGUUU